UACGAGGGGGGCAACUGUUGUUCGGAAUCACUGGGCGUAAAGGGAGCGUAGGCGGGUUUUUAAGUCAGGUGUUUAAUCCCGGGGCCCAACCCCGGACCGGCACUUGAAACUGGGAAUCUUGAAUAGUGGAGAGGUCAGUGGAAUUGGGGGUGUAGCGGUGGAAUGCGUAGAGAUCCCCAAGAACACCAGUUGCGAAGGCGGCUGACUGGACACAUAUUGACGCUGAGGCUCGAAAGCAUGGGGAGCAAACAGG
rnacentral:rRNA from 1 species